rnacentral:rRNA from 1 species
AGCAGCCGCGGUAAUUCCAGCUCCAAUAGCGUAUAUUAAAGUUGUUGCAGUUAAAAAGCUCGUAGUUGAAUUUCGGGGUCAGUAGGUCGGUCGUGCCACUGGUAUGCACUGACCUCACUGAUUCCUCCUUCUUGUAGAACCGUAAUGCCAUUAAGUUGGUGUUGCGGGGAAACAGGACUGUUACUUUGAAAAAAUUAGAGUGUUUAAAGCAAGCUAACGCUUGAAUACAUUAGCAUGGAAUAAUGAAAUAGGACGAACGAUCCUAUUUUGUUGGUUUCUAGGAUUGACGUAAUGAUUAAUAGGGAUAGUUGGGGGCAUUAGUAUUCAAUUGUCAGAGGUGAAAUUCUUGGAUUUAUUGAAGACUAACUACUGCGAAAGCAUUUGCCAAGGAUGUUUUCAUUAAUCAAGAACGAAAGUUAGGGGAUCGAAGACGAUCAGAUACCGUCGUAGUCUUAACCAUAAACUAUGCCGACUAGGGAUCGGAUGAUGUUAAUUUUAUAAUGACUCAUUCGGCGCCUUA